rnacentral:rRNA from 1 species
GACGAACGCUGGCGGCGUGCCUAACACAUGCAAGUGGAGCGACGAACCAGGCUUUUAGCCUGGGGCAGAGCCGCGAACGGGUGAGUAACACGUGGGUAACCUGCCCUGAUGAUUGGGACAACCCGAGGAAACUCGGGCUAAUACCGAAUGUGCCCUCUGACCGCAAGGUCGCUGGGGAAAGGAAGCUUCGGCCUCCGCAUCGGGAUGGGCCCGCGGCCCAUUAGCUUGUUGGUGAGGUAACGGCUCACCAAGGCGACGAUGGGUAGCUGGUCUGAGA